rnacentral:rRNA from 1 species
GAUCAUGGCUCAGGAUGAACGCUGGCGGCGUGCUUAACACAUGCAAGUCGAACGAAGCACUUAAGAUUGAUUCUUCGGAUGACGUCUUUGUGACUUAGUGGCGGACGGGUGAGUAACGCGUGGGUAAUCUGCCUCACACAGGGGAGUAACAGUUAGAAAUAGACUGCUAAUACCGCAUAACCCGAUAGGAUCGCAUGAUCCAGACGGAAAAGAUUUAUCGGUGUGAGAUGGACCCG